CAGCCGCCGCGGUAAUACGAAGGGUGCAAGCGUUAAUCGGAAUUACUGGGCGUAAAGCGCACGCAGGCGGUUUGUUAAGUCAGAUGUGAAAUCCCCGAGCUUAACUUGGGAACUGCAUUUGAAACUGGCAAGCUAGAGUCUUGUAGAGGGGGGUAGAAUUCCAGGUGUAGCGGUGAAAUGCGUAGAGAUCUGGAGGAAUACCGGUGGCGAAGGCGGCCCCCUGGACAAAGACUGACGCUCAGGUGCGAAAGCGUGGGGAGCAAACAGGAUUAGAUACCCCUGUAGUCCCUGUCUCUUAUAC
rnacentral:rRNA from 1 species